rnacentral:rRNA from 1 species
GGUACCCGUACCGCAAACCGACACAGGUGGGUGAGGAGAGUAUCCUAAGGCCAGCGAGAGAACUGUUGUUAAGGAACUCGGCAAAAUGACCCCGUAACUUAGGGAUAAGGGGUGCCACCAUCAGGUGGCCGCAGAGAAUAGGCCCAAGCGACUGUUUACCAAAAACAUAGGUUUCUGCUAAGUCGCAAGACGAUGUAUAGGAGCUGACG